CCUGGCCAUGGCAAGGAGGAGCUGGGCAGGCAGAGCACUGGGAAGGCCCUGGACAAGGCUGUGCUGGAGCUGAAGCUGCUACGUGCUCAGGAAUAACAACGCUUGCUCUUAGCUCAUGAUGCAAAUGUCAAAGUGCCCUUGGACUGAAAAGGGGAUAAAGCAAACUGGGACUGCCCAGAGGCUGAGAUAGCCCAAGGUGACCCAGCCUGGGUGCUAUGCCAAAUAAUUCAAACCCAGCUCCUUCUCAGAGCAGAAGUCUGCAAUACUGGGGGGAAAAGUUCACAGCGAGCAUUGGUGUUUUUGAAGAGUCUUUUUUUAUUUCCUUUCCGGCUGCCAUUCUAACGAACCUCAUGGGGGGAAACCAUGCCAGAGGAAGAAGCAAAAUGAGGCUACUGAAGUCAAAGAAAGAAAAUAUAAGACUCUUUGACAGGAUGGAAAAUAAGGCACAAUUAGGGAAGACUUAUUGCCUGGAAAAUGAUAAUGGACAGAAAAUAACCAUUUUUUUUCCUAGUAACAUCCACAAGGACCAUGCACCGAGGUGUUAAAUGCCAGCAUUUCAGUUAUGUUUUUACUUACUGCCAAAGGCUGAGCCUGCAGCUG